GACGAACGCUGGCGGCGUGCUUAACACAUGCAAGUCGAACGGAAAGGCCCUGCUUUUGUGGGGUGCUCGAGUGGCGAACGGGUGAGUAACACGUGAGUAACCUGCCCUUGACUUUGGGAUAACUUCAGGAAACUGGGGCUAAUACCGGAUAGGAGCUCCUGCUGCAUGGUGGGGGUUGGAAAGUUUCGGCGGUUGGGGAUGGACUCGCGGCUUAUCAGCUUGUUGGUGGGGUAGUGGCUUACCAAGGCUUUGACGGGUAGCCGGCCUGAGAGGGUGACCGGCCACAUUGGGACUGAGAUACGGCCCAGACUCCUACGGGGGGCAGCAGUGGGGAAUAUUGCACAAUGGGCGGAAGCCUGAUGCAGCAACGCCGCGUGCGGGAUGACGGCCUUCGGGUUGUAAACCGCUUUCGCCUGUGACGAAGCGUGAGUGGCGGUAAUGGGUAAAGAAGCACCGGCUAACUACGUG
rnacentral:rRNA from 1 species